rnacentral:rRNA from 1 species
GGGCCCGCACAAGCGGUGGAUGAUGUGGAUUAAUUCGAUGCAACGCGAAAAACCUUACCUACCCUUGACAUGUCAGGAAUUUUGCAGAGAUGCGAAAGUGCUCGAAAGAGAACCUGAACACAGGUGCUGCAUGGCUGUCGUCAGCUCGUGUCGUGAGAUGUUGGGUUAAGUCCCGCAACGAGCGCAACCCUUGUCAUUAGUUGCUACGCAAGGGCACUCUAGAGAGACUGCCGGUGACAAACCGGAGGAAGGUGGGGACGACGUCAAGUCCUCAUGGCCCUUAUGGGUAGGGCUUCACACGUCAUACAAUGGUUGGUACAGAGGGUUGCGAACCCGCGAGGGGGAGCUAAUCCCAAAAACCAAUCGUAGUCCGGAUUGCAGUCUGCAACUCGACUGCAUGAAGUCGGAAUCGCUAGUAAUCGC